rnacentral:rRNA from 1 species
GCGCGUAGAUGAUAUAGGUGUCGGGGGUCGAACUCGGUGCCGCCGUUAACACAUUAAGUAUUCCGCCUGGGGAGUACGAUCGCAAGAUUAAAACUCAAAGGAAUUGACGGGGGCCCGCACAAGCAGCGGAGCAUGUGGUUUAAUUCGAAGCAACGCGAAGAACCUUACCUAGACUUGACAUCCCUUGCAUAGCCCAGAGAUGGGCGAAGUCCUUUCGGGGACAAGGUGACAGGUGGUGCAUGGUUGUCGUCAGCUCGUGUCGUGAGAUGUUGGGUUAAGUCCCGCAACGAGCGCAACCCUUAUCAUUAGUUGCUACCAUUAAGUUGAGCACUCUAGUGAGACUGCCCGGGUUAACCGGGAGGAAGGUGGGGAUGACGUCAAAUCAUCAUGCCCCUUAUGUCUAGGGCUACACACGUGCUACAAUGGUGAGUACAAAGAGAUGCAAGACCGCAAGGUGGAGCCAAACUCAAAAACUCAUCCCAGUUCGGAUUGUAGGCUGCAACUCGCCUACAUGAAGCCGGAGUUGCUAGUAAUCGCGAAUCAGCAUGUCGCGGUGAAUACGUUCCCGGGCCUUGUACACACCGCCCGUCACACCAUGAGAGUUGGUAACACCCGAAGUCCGUGAGGUAACCAGUAAUGGAGCCAGCGGCCGAAGGUGGGAUCGAUGAUUGGGGUGAAGUCGUAACA